AUACAUGCAAGUCGAGCGGACCGACGGGAGCUUGCUCCCUUAGGUCAGCGGCGGACGGGUGAGUAACACGUGGGUAACCUGCCUGUAAGACUGGGAUAACUCCGGGAAACCGGGGCUAAUACCGGAUGCUUGAUUGAGCCGCAUGGUUCAAUUAUAAAAGGUGGCUUUCAGCUACCACUUACAGAUGGACCCGCGGCGCAUUAGCUAGUUGGUGAGGUAACGGCUCACCAAGGCGACGAUGCGUAGCCGACCUGAGAGGGUGAUCGGCCACACUGGGACUGAGACACGGCCCAGACUCCUACGGGAGGCAGCAGUAGGGAAUCUUCCGCAAUGGACGAAAGUCUGACGGAGCAACGCCGCGUGAGUGAUGAAGGUUUUCGGAUCGUAAAACUCUGUUGUUAGGGAAGAACAAGUACCGUUCGAAUAGGGCGGCACCUUGACGGUACCUAACCAGAAAGCCACGGCUAACUACGUGCCAGCAGCCGCGGUAAUACGUAGGUGGCAAGCGUUGUCCGGAAUUAUUGGGCGUAAAGCGCGCGCAGGCGGUUUCUUAAGUCUGAUGUGAAAGCCCCCGGCUCAACCGGGGAGGGUCAUUGGAAACUGGGGAACUUGAGUGCAGAAGAGGAGAGUGGAAUUCCACGUGUAGCGGUGAAAUGCGUAGAGAUGUGGAGGAACACCAGUGGCGAAGGCGACUCUCUG
rnacentral:rRNA from 1 species